AACUUAGAUUUUUAUGAGAAAUUUAAAGUUAUCAUUAAAUGAUUCCAAUAAGUUUGCAGAAUAAUUAUAAAAUGGACUUAAUUGAGUAUAUUUAUAUGCGAAUUGCUAGAUGUUGACAAAAACUUGUAUAUAUUUAUAGGACACUUAAGACAUAAGCUUUUGGAUGUAUGAGAGUACCUUGAAUUGAGAGACAUCAAUGGAAAAAAAGAAUUAUUUUUAAUAAACUUCUGAAGAUUGCAGAACUUUGUAUCCACCUAUAUGAUCUCUUAAUUUUUUUAAUCGACUUCUGGUGCAAGGAAGUCCAAUAAAAGUAGUAAAAGUUUUUAAUAAUAGGAAACUGGAAACUAAUGCCUUCCACUGGGCAGGGCAUCAUAGUUCUACCUUUCCCAAUCCUACAUUAUAACGGACAUUAUAAUUUUAAUGAUUAUACACGAUUUUCAUGAAAAGAUGUAGU